rnacentral:rRNA from 1 species
UACGGAGGAUCCGAGCGUUAUCCGGAUUUAUUGGGUUUAAAGGGUGCGCAGGCGGAAUAUUAAGUCGGCGGUGAAAGUUUGCAGCUUAACUGUAAAAUUGCCGUUGAUACUGGUAUUCUUGAGUGUAUAUGAAGUAGGCGGAAUUUGUAGUGUAGCGGUGAAAUGCAUAGAUAUUACAAGGAACUCCGAUUGCGAAGGCAGCUUACUAAAUUACAACUGACGCUCAGGCACGAAGGCGUGGGGAUCAAACAGGAUUAGAUACCCGUGUAGUCCCU